AAAGGGAGACCUAAUUCAGGUAGGAGGCGAAAAAAAAGUAGUCGCUACCAAGAAUCAAUCCCAAAAGGUCGGAGCGAGGCAAAAUUGGCUUUCAAACUAGGUUCUGGGUUCACACAAGACCUGAAUCAGGAACAAGGGCUAUUAGCUCAGGUGGUUAGAGCGCACCCCUGAUAAGGGUGAGGUCCCUGGUUCGAGUCCAGGAUGGCCCACCUGCACAGGUGGCAAAAACAAGAGAAGCUCCGAAUCAGCACCUUAUCUUACUGACAUAGUAAGAGAGAAUGCUGGCUCUGAGUAAAGAGUCCAGAGGAACCUUGAAAACUGCAUAGAGCUAGGUGAAAAAGCCAAAAAAGAAGACCGCAAG
rnacentral:tRNA from 1 species